rnacentral:tRNA from 1 species
AUUUUAUUAGUAUAAUUAAGUACAUUUAACUUCCAAUUAAAUAGUUUAAAAUUUUUAAAUAAAAUA